CCCUUAGAUGUUCUGGGCCGCACGCGCGUUACACUGAUGCAUUCAACGAGCUUAUAACCUUGGCUGAGAGGCCUGGGCAAUCUUGUUAACGUGCAUCGUGAUAGGGAUAGAUUAUUGAAAUUAUUAAUCUUGAACGAGGAAUUCCUAGUAAACGCAGAUCAUCAAUCUGCAUUGAUUACGUCCCUGCCCUUUGUACACACCGCCCGUCGCACCUACCGAUUGGAUGGUCCGGUGAAGCCUCGGGAUUGUGGUUCUUGCCGCUUUAUUGUGGCGUGACCGCGAGAACUUGUCUAAACCUUAUCAUCUAGAGGAAGGUGAAGUCGUAACA
rnacentral:rRNA from 1 species